GGUUCCAUAUCUCAGUUGGUUAGAGCCCAAGUCCUAUAAACUGGAGGUCGCAGGUUCGAAUACUACUGGAGACU